rnacentral:tRNA from 1 species
GCUGCCAUAGUGUAGACCGGUCAAUCAUGCAGGACUCUCACUCCUGCGACUCGGGUUCAAAUCCCGAUGGCAGCA